CCCUUAGAUGUUCUGGGCUGCACACGUGCUACACUGGCAGGUUCAGCGAGCUUCAUGCCCUGAUCUGAAAGGAAUGGGAAAUCUUUUCAAAACCUGCCGUGCUUGGGAUAGAUGUUGCAAUUAUUCAUCUUCAACGAGGAUUGCCUUGUAAGCGCACGUCAUCAGCGUGCAUUGAAUACGACCCUGUAUUCUGUACACACCGCCCGUCGCUCCUACCGAUUGAAGUUUUCGGUGAGUUGACAGGAGGAUUUUUUUGAAACUGGUUCGCCAGUGGAUUUUAGAUCCAAAUGCCAACGAAUCGAUGGCUUUAGAGGAAGGAGAAGUCGUAACA
rnacentral:rRNA from 1 species